CACAACAUUAGGAAUAGCAACAAUUAUUUCACUAAAACUUUAAUUACCUGCACUAAAAACUUUCAAUGAGUUUAUGUACUUUGUGAAUUUAGGAAUCUGGAACAAUGAUUGCACUUAUUUAACUACCUGCACUAAAGUGUUUGCUUUAGUUAUGGUGUUGACAGUAAGUAUAAAUACUUUAAGGGGCGUGACCUCCGCCGCAUUGCUUCAGCAGCCUUCAAAUCCCGGCAAUGAAACGGUUCGUGUGAGGAAGACUGCUUCUGGUGCUACUGGUGGAAAUUGUUACUAGUGUGUAAAUAUGUGGUAAAUAUCUGUGGAAACCAAAGGAUGUUUUCACUCGUACCAAACGUUAUGGUCAUGGAGAUACCUCUCUUCCUGCACACAAAACAACUACAACCACCUAAUUAUUACACACACACUCCUAUACCAGCCUCGGAGUCCCCAUCUGGUAACGACCCUAAAUGUCUUGACACCCCUCUCAGUUUUUCUUCUUAAACUUCUACAGAUUGAACGCGAAAGUUGCAGAACACUGCUUCUCCUCUAUUAAGCUUCAUCAUCCUUUCCUCACUGAAACCCUGGUGUCUGAGGCAACUGACAGUAGCCCCUUUUCUGUUUCCUCUUACUUUCUCUAUCCAAAGCUGGAUGUUGUGUUUAUGUGCGCAAUGAAAUUAACCUGCUUUCGUGCCCACGCUCUUGAAUCUUUUGGGUUUUCCACCACCUGGCUACGACAACAGAGUCCCUUUCAUACUAAAUUUAUCUGUGUUGUAUACCUUUCACCUAACUCCUCUGACUGUAAGAAAUUCUUUGACUACUUAACUUCCAAAGUGGAGCACAUUCUAACUCUCUUCCCUUUUGCAGGGAUCUCCGUUCUUGGAGACUUCAAUGUUCACCACCAGCUUUGGCUUUCCUCUCCCUUCACUGACCAUCCUGGUGAACUAACCUUUAAAUUUUCUAUCCUCCAUGACCUAGAGCAAUUGGUGCAACACUCUAAUCGUAUUCCUGACCGUCUUAGAGAUAUGCCCAACAUUCUUGACCUUUUCCUGACCUCUAAUCCUUCUGCUUAUUCUGUUACCCUCUCUUUCUCUGUUGGGCUCUCCGAUCACAUCUAGUAUCUGUAUCUUGUCCUAUCACUCCAAUCCCUCCUCAGGAUCCCCUAAGCGAAGGUGCCUCUGGCGUGUUGGCUAUGCUAGUUGGGGGAACCUGAGGAGGGUAUUUUGCUGAUUUUCCUUGGAAUGACUACUGCGUCCGUGACGGAGACCGCCCUGUGUGCCGAGUGCAUAAGAGCGUGGUGGCAGCACGGGCCUCGGCACUCCCUGGCACCACGGCAGGUGUCAGUGAGGCAGGCAGGUGUUGGUUCAAGUCCUGGCAGUGUCAUUCGCUGCUGUAUUGUUUGGUGCAGCGGAUGAUGCUACGUUUUUCAUCACUUAGUUAGUGUAGAGUUUAUUUUUCCCUGAUGUUAUCUGUGUUGGUAAGGCAUUUCCAUUAUAUAGUGGUAGAUAUUCUGGGAAAUAAGGAAAUUAGCAAUACUAAGACAUGUUUGAAGCACUACUCACCAGUGUGGAAGACUUGUCAGGCAGUGGCUGUAGUGGCUUCACUUGAAGCACGACCAUGUUCUCCUCAACCCUUGGAAAGAGAACAAUUUAUCUGAAAUGGAGAUACAAAGAUAAUGGGGAAAAUGUAAGAGAGACGCUGCAAAGUGUAGCUGACAGUGUACGCGUCGUCAUCAAGAGGAGGGGCUCUGCAAUGAAAUAGUAAGACACUCGUGAAGGCCACUAUCUUUUUUGAAUGGAAGAGUGUGUCGUGUGUGUUAACAACGCCAGGCGCGCAAACAUUUUUUGCAUCAGGGGGGUUGUACGAUCUGGACAUUUUUUUUUUUUUUUCUAUAAUUUUCUACCCUUUUUUUUCCACUUUUGAUAUAUGUAACGUUUCGAUAAAAAAAAAAAAAAAUUCCCUUAUGUAAUGUUAAAUUCCACGGUUUCGCCCGCCGCGAGACAUGUAUGACGCUUUUUUUAUUUUUUUUUUUUAUUUUCCAUUUCAUUUUUUCUGACAUACUCGCUCGUCUUCAGUCUCCUAUGAAUAUCUACGGUUCUUUUGCUGCCUACAACAUUAGAGAGCACGAAAUUUUAGAUCUAACUACUUUUUUUCAUAUUUAUAUACGAAAAAUUAAAAUUAUUUUUCCGUAAAUCUAGCAAAUAGUCAAUGUGUCUGCAUUAGAUAUCUUUUGCAUUAAUAUUUUACUUAUUUUUAAACAGUUAAACAAUGUGUCUGCAUUAGAUAUCUUUUGCAUUAAUAUUUUACUUAUUUUUAAACAGUUAAACAAUGUGUCUGCAUUAGAUAUCUUUUGCAUUAAUAUUUUAUUUUUUAAACUAAACAAUGUGUCUGCAUUAGAUAUCUUUUGCAUUAAUAUUUAUUUAUUUUUAAACAGCUAAACACUGGUUUUUACUUAGAAAUAUGGCGAAAUAUAACAAAAAUUGUUUUCACCAACCUUCCCCCUCUCCACCCCGGUAAUUAAGGGUGAAAUCAUGAAUAGCUUUAGGCCUAUGUACAAAACCAAUCAGAGUAACUAAAUUAAUCUAUGUCUGCUUUUUCAACAUAUUCUGAUGUAUAUAUCACGUGAAUUUCAAGUCCUUGGCUGCAAUAGGUGAAUUAUUGUCACCCCUCAAACUUUAUGACAUAAUAUCUCAAAAUGGCGGAUUUUGGCAUAUAAAAAUGAUCUGGUCCGUUGUUAUUGGUGUUACACACAGAUGGGCUAUUGCGGCUUAUCAAACUGUGAGAGGCGAACAAAGUCUGCUGUCGUCAUUUUUGUUUAGAGUUGAUUUUGAUUUCUGACAAAUAUUUCAUUUUUUUUUAAUUUUCAUAGAAAGAAAAAUUAUCGUACAAAAAAAGAAGAUAGCAGAGAUUCUUCUCCUAUCCUUCCUGAUCAAAAUGCUUUUUAAAUUAAAGAAAUUGGUCAAUAAAUGAGGGAGGAGAUACACGAGUUGAACACAGGCAAUUUAACAAGGGAUUAGCGAUCCUUCAACCCUCCUCAAGUGUAUGAAUAAAGGUGAUUAGUUACUUUGAUGUGGAAAGACUAAUUUGUAAAGAUCAGAAUAUAUGAGAAUAAAUUAUUUUUAUGACCUUGUGUCCAGCCAAUGUUUGUAGGUGUUAAGGUGAAACCACGAGGUGAGGUGACAUUAGUAUUGUCAGGUGUCUUUGUAAGGUACUCACACCAAAGUUUUCAUUUGCUUCAAUCAAUCAAGGUCUGGUGAUAAAAAAGGCACUGCAUCCUGUGCACUCUAGCCUGUGCACGCCUUCCUUUCACUCUGGAAUGCACACCUUUAUAUAUUGUGCUGCAUUCACACUCACAUAUUUCAAUACAAAUAAAUAAAUAACAAACAAAAAAA